rnacentral:sRNA from 12 species
UCCGUGCAGACCGAGUAACCUUCAAGGCGAAAGCAGACAUCGAAGGAGAUAAGGAGCGCAUGACCGUCCGAAAGGUAAAUAUACGCCCUGAUGCGUCCGGGCGGACGCUUCUUGCAUGGCGCGGAUUGCAGGUCAUUCCGCGUUUCAUGCCCGGUGACGCUACGCCGCUACUGCAACCUGCCGACAGCGGUACGGGGUGGAGGAGAGAUUUUUAUGACCA